rnacentral:rRNA from 1 species
CAGUAGCCGCGGUAAGACAGAGGAUGCAAGCGUUAUCCGGAAUGAUUGGGCGUAAAGCGUCUGUAGGUGGCUUUUCAAGUCCGCCGUCAAAUCCCAGGGCUCAACCCUGGACAGGCGGUGGAAACUACCAAGCUAGAGUACGGUAGGGGCAGAGGGAAUUUCCGGUGGAGCGGUGAAAUGCGUUGAGAUCGAAAAGAACACCAACGACGAAAGCACUCUGCUGGGUCGACACUGACACUGAGAGACGAAAGCUAGGGGAGCAAAUGGGAUUAGAUACCCCUGUAGUCCCUGUCUCUUAUAC